rnacentral:lncRNA from 1 species
GAUUUAGGAUCUAGAAUUUGAUUAGGAUCUAGGAUUUUGUUUGAGUUUGAUCUAAAUUUAACUAAAAUAUGAUUAAUAUUUGAAUAGAAAUUGAUUAGGAUUUAUCUAGGAUUUAUCUAAGAUUUCAUUAAGAUUCAUUAGAAUUAGUUUAAGAUUUAGGAUUUCAUUAGGAUUUCAUUAGGAUUUGAACUAGGAUUUGAUUAAGGUCUAUAAAGGUUUCAAUUAGGAUUUUAAUUAGGAUUUGACCUAAGUUUUGAUU